UACGUAGGGUGCGAGCGUUGUCCGGAAUUAUUGGGCGUAAAGCGCGCGCAGGCGGUCCUUUAAGUCUGAUGUGAAAGCCCACGGCUCAACCGUGGAGGGUCAUUGGAAACUGGGGGACUUGAGUGCAGGAGAGAAGAGUGGAAUUCCACGUGUAGCGGUGAAAUGCGUAGAUAUCUGGAGGAACACCGGUGGCGAAGGCGGCGUUCUGGACUGCAACUGACACUGAGGAACGAAAGCCAGGGGAGCAAACGGG
rnacentral:rRNA from 1 species